UUUUCAGCUUUAGAUCGAGCUGUCACAAAAGCUUAAAAAAUCCUCUAAUGGGUCAUAUGCAUGUAAUUCAUGGUGAUCCAGUGUGUGAACAUACAAAAGGAUAAUUUUCUGAUUAAUGUCAGCUUUUAGUUGAGGAUAUAUCCCAGACAUUUUAGUUGCUCUUAUUUUUGGAGAUGUUUUUCUCAGUCACCAAUGAAGCAAC
rfam:Carollia perspicillata clone 29G20, complete sequence.